AUGGUUGUAGAUUAUCGUCCCGUUAAUUUGGUCACGAUAAAGAACAAGUAUCCGCUCCCCAGGAUCAACGACCUAUAUGAUCAGCUCACUGGAUCCUCAGUCUUUUCCAAGAUGGAUUUGAGGUUAGGCUACCACCAAAUCAAGAUCAGAAAUGGGGACAUCCCCAAAACGGCCUUUGUCACUCGUUAUGGUCAAUACGAGUACACCGUGAUGUCUUUUGGCCUAACCAAUGCUCCAGCUACUUUCUCCUGCUCGAUGAACUCGAUCUUUAUGGAGUACUUAGAUAAGUUCGUUGUGGUUUAUCUCGAUGAUAUUCUUAUUUACUCGAAGAACGAGGAAGAGCAUGCCGAACAUCUUAGGCUUGUGUUAGAAAAACUCAGAGAGCACCGCCUUUAUGCCAAGUUCUCCAAGUGUGAAUUUUGGUUGCCAGAAGUGACCUAUCUGGGCCACGUGAUCUCUACUAAGGGCAUUGUUGUCAAUCCCGAGAGAGUCAAAGCCGUUCUCGAUUGGACUCCACCCGAAACAGUCAAACAAGUUAGGAGUUUCCUUGGUCUAGCCAGUUAUUGUCGCCGCUUUGUUGAAAACUUCUCCAAAGUGGCCAAACCCCUCACGGAGCUUCUCAAGAAAGAUAAAAGGUUUGAGUGGACCCCACAGUGUGAGCAUAGUUUUCAGGAACUGAAAACAUGCCUGACUUUUGCGCCCAUACUCGUGCCAUUGGAUUUCACUAAGGACUUUGUUAUCUAUUGGGACGCUUCGCGUCAAGGACUAGGUUGA
rnacentral:rRNA from 1 species